AACGAACGCUGGCGGCAUGCCUAACACAUGCAAGUCGAACGAGACCUUCGGGUCUAGUUGCGCACGGGUGCGUAACGCGUGGGAACCUGCCCUUAGGUUCGGAAUAACUCCCCGAAAGGGGUGCUAAUACCGGAUAAUGUCUUCGGACCAAAGAUUUAUCGCCUUUGGAUGGGCCCGCGUUGGAUUAGCUAGUUGGUAGGGUAAAAGCCUACCAAGGCGACGAUCCAUAGCUGGUCUGAGAGGAUGAUCAGCCACACUGGGACUGAGACACGGCCCAGACUCCUACGGGAGGCAGCAGUGGGGAAUAUUGGACAAUGGGCGAAAGCCUGAUCCAGCAAUGCCGCGUGAGUGAUGAAGGCCUUAGGGUUGUAAAGCUCUUUUACCCGGGAUGAUAAUGACAGUACCUGGAGAAUAAGCUCCGGCUAACUCCGUG
rnacentral:rRNA from 1 species